rnacentral:rRNA from 1 species
UCAGUCGACUCCUACGGGGAGGCAGCAGUGGGGAAUAUUGGACAAUGGGCGCAAGCCUGAUCCAGCAAUACCGCGUGUGUGAAGAAGGCCUGAGGGUUGUAAAGCACUUUCAAUUGUGAAGAAAUGUUUGGAGUUAAUACCUCCGAAUUUUGACGUUAACUUUAGAAGAAGCACCCGGCUAACUCCGUGCCAGCAGCCGCGGUAAUACGGAGGGGUGGCAAGCGUUAAUCGGAAUUACUGGGCGUAAAGCGCGCGUAGGUGGCUUGCUAAGUCAGAUGUGAAAGACCCCGGGGCCUUAACCUGGGAACUGCAUUUGAUACUGGCAAGCUAGAGUAUAGUAGAGGCAAGUGGAAUUUCCUGUGUAGCGGUGAAAUGCGUAGAUAUAGGAAGGAACACCAGUGGCGAAGGCGGCUUGCUGGACUAAUACUGACACUGAGGUGCGAAAGCGUGGGGAGCAAACAGGAUUAGAUACCCCUGGUAG